GAGGCCUGCUGGAUUUCGAACCUGCAACCUCGCUUUGAUACCACAUGUUAGGACUGUAGCCCCUAACUAACUUUUCAAAAGGCAAAUGCCCAUUGAGAGGUGAGGUUUAUUAGUCUUUAUCCAUUAGGCACAGGGGCUUCACAUCUGAGUUGACCCACAUCAAGCUAGAUCACCCUCAAUCAGCAGGCUAGGUGAUUAGACCCACUAAAUCUUACCAACUAGGUACCAAUUGACCCUCCUUAUUGACUCCCAUAAUUGUUGUCAAUACAUUAGUCACCUUCGGCUACCAACCCCAGCC
rnacentral:lncRNA from 1 species